CACAAUUUCUGGUUGUCCAUUCUUAUCUAUAGUGCAACCCUUGAUGGUGUGUGGUUUCUCCUUUCCUAGGUUGGGAAUACAUGUGACUAAUAAGUUGCUUGGAUCUCAUCUGCCUAAGUGUCAUGUGUUGUGUGUUUGCCAUCCCCAUAACCCUAGGGGACAGUUCUGCUCUCACCAGUGGGGUACAAAGGGGAAUGUGAAGAGGCCAAGGAAAUGCUUAGCAUGGGGCCAUGAGAGGGUUGUGAUGGAAAUGUCUGUGAAGUCCAGACGUGAGGAGUGUGCAGUUUAGAGAAUGGUGUGGUGGCCCCAGGUGCCUGGAGUUGAGUCAUACAGAGGAUUACCUGACACUAGCAUUGGAUGCUUUUUUGCCAAGCCCACAGUUGCAUGUCUCUUUGUGUCACUGCCCUUGUGCCUGGUGGCUGGACAAUCUUCAGGCCUAUGAGUAGACAGUGACACCAAUGACACCAGGGCCUGGUUUCUCCUCUGAGAUAUGGAGCUUGGAAGAAGAUGGGCAUGGGGUAGAUGAGGAUGGAUUGUGGAGCUUCAGGAGUGGACUGUUUAUGAUGUCAUCUCUCCCCACCUGGCAGGGCACUGUGACCUUUGAGGAUUGGAUUUCUGUUUCUCCUCAAGAGUGGAAUCUCCUUGAUGAGGUUCAAAGAUGCUUGUACCAUGAUGUGAUGGUGGGAAAACUGGCACUUAUACUUCUCUGGGUUGGUGGUGUGGAAUAGAGGAUGAGGAGGCAACUUCUGAGCAGAGUGUUUCUGUAAGAGGAAGUGUCACAGAUUAUGACUUCCAAGUCAGUUCUAUCUCUCCAAGAGAUCAACCUCUGUGAGAUGUGUGGCCUUAUCUUAAAAGACAUCCUUCACUUGGCUGAGCAUAAGGAAGCACACCACAAGCAGAAAAUGUGCAUGUGUUGAGCAUGUGAGAAACAAUUCUAUUUCAGUUCAAUUUUUCAGCAUAUUGAAGAGAAGCCAUUCAGAAGUGAUAUGGGCAGAACCUCAUUUGUGAAGAACUGUAAAUUCCAUGAACCAGGAAGGCCUUUAUACACAGGGAGGUUGGAAGUGAUUUCCUGUCCAGCUUGGAAUUUCUCCAUCAAGUCUUCUUCCUGUGGAAAAGUCAAAUAGCAAAACCAAGUAUGGUGCUGCCUCUCGCAGGAGAAAGCUCAUUGUAACUGGGAAGAAUGUGAUGAAGUGUUCAUCCCCAAACACACAUUUACUUGUUCAGCAUUAGAGAGUCCUCACUAGAGAAAGAUGUUACAUGUGCAGAGAGUGUGGGGAAUCCUUUACCCACAGCUCCAGUCUCAUUAAUACCAGAGUACACACUGGAGAAAGACCUUAUAAGUGCUCAGAGUGUGGCAAGUCCUUUAGCCAAAGCUCUAACCUCUUUCAACAUUGGGGAGUUCACACUGGAGAAAGGCCUUUAAGUGCUGUGAAUGCAGUAAAUCCUUUAGCCAGAGCUGCAGCCUCAAUAACCACUGGAAAGUUCACCCUGGAUAGAGGCCUUUUGAGUGUGGGGAAUGUGGGAAAUCUUUAUCCAAAGAUCCAACCCAAUCUAACAUUACAGAAUUCACACUGGACAAAGGCUUUUUAAGUGUAGUGAAUGUGGGACAUUCUUUAGCCAGAGCUCUGCACUCCCGCAACAGCAUAGUAUUCACACUGGAGAAAGGCCUUAUGAACGUGGGAAAUUCUUUACCUACAAUUCCAGUGUUCUAAACCACCAGAACAUUCCCACUGGGUGAAGGCCUUAUCAGUGCAGUGAAUGUAGGAAAUCCUUUGGUCAGUAUUGCAGCCUUAUUCUACACCUGAGAGUUCACCCUGGAGAAAGGUCUUGUGGGUGCAGUGAAUAUGGGAAAUCCUUUAGCCAAAGGUCUGUACUCCUUAAACACCACACAGUUCAUACUGAAGAAAGGCCCUAUGAGUGCAGUAAAUGUGUACUUUAACUUCAGUGACCAUAGGAGAGUUCACACUGGAGAAAGGCCCUAGAGGGUCUUAAGUGUGGAAAAUCUUAGCCAAAGCUCUGGCUUCAUUCAACACCAGAUUUCACUCUGGAGUAGGGCCUUAUAAAUGUUUUGAAUAUGAGAAAGCUAUCAGCCAAAUGCCUUUCCUCAGGUACCACAAAGUUCACAUGGGGAAGACACCUUAAUGUCCUGGAAGUGGGGCACUUUCUUGUUUAAUGCAAUGACACUGGAGGAAAUCCCUUAGGAUGCCAUUUGCCUGAACUGAACCUGAUUCAUUCACACGUCCACAUUGAUUCCAGGUGUGGGGGAAGCUUGAAGCUUUGUGCUGCACUUCUAAACCUGUCCAGGGUCUUUGCCCAAGCGUUAGUCACCUUCAGUACUGUAACUGGAGCCGUGUGGCCUCUAUCACCUGCCAGGCGCCCACAGUGUGUGUUGGUACUCCUUUUGCAUAGGGAAGUGGUUAGUCUUUGCUUUCCCAACCCAGAGCAGGAUUUGUGAGAUGACAGCAUUCACUCCCAACGUGUUAAGGUCUGGGUCUGACUCAGGUUUGGCCCCAAAGACCUGGUCUGAGUCCUGCUUGUGAAUUAAAAGAUGGACUACGUUUUCCAGAGAUUGUCUUUCAUGACCAGUGAUGAGUUUUGUGGCCUUUACCUGACCAACCUGAGAAAAACCUGCCUCUUGUUUCUCUGCUUUGUGUGAUGAUAAAUUUCUUUUCUAAAAAAUUGUAGAUAGACACAAUACCUUUUUUCGCUUAUUUAUUUUUAUGUGAUGCUGAGGAUUGAACCCAGUGCCUCACACAUGCUAGGCAAGCGUGCUACCACUGAGCUAUAACUGCGGCACCGAUGUCUUAUCUCUUAAGCCACCUUUAAUCCUGGGAGCCCUAUUCACUUUAUUGAGUGAUUUGAAAACAGGGAGAGUUCUGUCAUAAUGAAAGCAGCAGCAGCAUUUGAGAGCAUUCCACAUGUACGCCUCAGGGUAUUAUGGCAGAAAGUAAUUCUUCUGUUUGGGCUCGAUUUGUAUUUCUCCCCAAGCCUCCAAGGAAAGCACCAUGGACCUGACUUACAGCCUGGCUACUGUGGUACUUUGUGGCUUCUGAGCUCACUUGGGAGGUGUGACAACCUUCAGUACUUAUGUGAAAUUUCAGUACAGUGUGAAAUUUGUUCACA